rnacentral:rRNA from 1 species
UUUUAAGCAUAUCACUAAGCGGAGGAAAAGAAACUAACUAGGAUUUCCCUAGUAGCGGCGAGCGAACCGGAAGGAGCCCAGCUUGAAAAUCGCGUGGCUUUGCGGCGCGAAUUGUAGUCUGGAGAAGCGUCCUCUGCAGCGGACCGGGCCCAAGUUCCCUGGAACGGGACGUCGGAGAGGGUGAGAGCCCCGUCGAGCUCGGACCCUGCUGCUCCACGAGGCGCUGUCGGCGAGUCGGGCUGUUUGGGAAUGCAGCCCUAAGUGGGUGGUAAAUUCCAUCCAAGGCUAAAUAUGGGCAAGAGACCGAUAGCGAACAAGUACCGCGAGGGAAAGAUGAAAAGGACUUUGAAAAGAGAGUUAAAAGUGCUUGAAAUUGCUGGGAGGGAAGCGAAUGGAGGCUGCGGGUGCGCCCCGGUUGGAUGCGGAACGGCGCAAGCUGGUCCGCCGCUCAACGCGGGGCGCUGGUCAGCGUGGGCUACCCCGGCGGGACAACAGCAUGCUUUUGUUGCUUGCCUAUGCCGUUGGGGUGGCCGAGGAACGAAGCGCGCGCCUUCGGGCGGCCCUCGGGACCUGCGCGCUCGGGACGCUGGCGUAUUGAGCUUUCCAUCCGGCCCGUCUUGAAACACGGACCAAGGAGUCUAACAUGUAUGCGAGCCGGUGGGUGGCAAACCCACAGAGGCGCAAGUAACCUGACAGGUGGGAUCCCCUCGCGGGGAGCACCAUCGACCGACCAUGAUCUUCUGUGAAAG